UGUACGCUUAACUAUAAUUCGCUUUGGAUAAAAGUGUCUGCUAAAUGGCAUAUA
rfam:Salmo salar isolate Sally breed double haploid chromosome ssa11, whole genome shotgun sequence.